rnacentral:rRNA from 1 species
GUCUGUGACUAUACAGCCAAGAAAAUGCCUGAUCUUGGAUACUAAGUGGAUUUUGGCCCUGUUUGUACUUGGAUAGAAGACUGUUAUAAUAUGCUGGGUGCUAGAGACC